GGGCGGGGACAGAAUCACGGGGACACCCCGGCCCGCGGACCCUUCCCCCACCGUCGUCCAGGGCCCCCACCGCCACCACCGGGACAGUCUCAGGCCGUGGCCUGGCCGUGUGGCCGGCGCGGCCCACGGUGACCGGGUCGGGGGAGGACUAGCUCCUGCAGCCCCUCGACAGGCACCUGUACCGCGGGGUGUCCAGUGUGUGCCCGCCCCGCGGCCUCUCCGGGUCGAGGAGGGUGUGGGGUUCAGAGGCAGAAGCCGGGAGACGGCAGAGGAGCAGCAGAAGCACCCGGAGGUCCUGCCCACCCGGCGUUUCCCACGAGCUCACUCCCCAGUAACAUCCCCCCAGCCCCCCCCCACCCCGGCAAAGCGAGGCUAAGGCUGCACCAGGCAGCGCCCCUCACACUUGCUGGAACACCCCACAGGGAAGGGAUGGACGCCCCUUCAAGCCUCCGUAGGAGAGAAUCACAGCAGCUCCUGCUUCAGUUGGAAUAAGUGGGAAAGCCCCUCCUGCGCUGGGGCAGGUUUCCUGUUUCCUCCCAAGCGCCCACCAAACACCCAAAGGAAACAUGAAAUGAACCCAAAACCUUGCAUCAAGGGGCAAACCCUCUUUCCUGCAGAGUAGGUGCCACGCCCCUGCCUGCCACCUUGCCUUGCCCCGCCCCCCAAGCCUGCCUGCUCUGGCCUCCCCUCCGGAGAGGGGGGCUGCUCUGACCUGGCGAGGCUUGCCCCUCCGCUGCCCUGGACCCUUUCCUGGAGCUCGUCUGUAUGAGGCCGAAAGGGACCCGAUGCUCUUCUCCUGGACUCACUUCUUUCACAUGGGCCUUUCCCAAAGCCCCAGGGCCUUCGGGGAGAAAAAGAGAUGUGCCCACCCAGCCCCCACCCAGCCCUGCUCUGAGCUCAGGACAGGCUCGUGGCGGAGCCCGGGGCUUAGCCAUCUCAAACAGCUCUGGAUCCUGACAUCUCAGCGGGAGAAGGCCAGGCAGGUGACAGCUCCCUGCUCCCCGCUUGCAACUCACCCCCACGUGGACCCAGCACCAGGCCUCCCUGGCCCUGCGGACCCCAUAACCACCAACGACGUGCCCACUUCUGGGGCCAAGGAGGGCCGGGCCCAGCCCUCACCUGAAGGGGAGUCCGUCGCCGUGGCGUCUUGAGUGAUGUUUCGCCAGGAACUCGAUCCCCCCACCCGCUUCGGCACCGUAGUCGGGAGCCUCCUCUGGGUCUGAAAGUUCCAAAUCUGGUGGAAGGGAGGGCAGCAUGAAGGACGUGGGCUGGCUGCAGACACCCCGCUUAGUGCCCUUAGCAGACAACCCCGAGCAGCUGGCAGAGCACCCCAGGGUCAUUGCCCAUCCCAUCUGGGCGGCUGGCCGGGUGGCAGUGCCCACACAGUGCAUCCACCCCUCCUGGCCCCAUGCCUCCUCCCCACCCAGCCUGGCCCUUGGGCCCGGGAGUGUGGGACCCGCCUCGGGGGCGCUGCCCACCGGCCCCAGUGCCUGGGGCCCUCACCUGCCCUGACCUGGCUGCUGAGGGGAAGGGCAUCCGUGGCAGGAUGGCCCUCUGCACCCCGGCUGCCCCAUCACCAUCCCUGGGUCCUGCUGGUGAGCGUGCGUGCUGCCCCGGCCCCAACCCGUACCUUUCUCGUUAAUGGUGAAAUUGUGCACGGGGCUCUCCAGGGGCAGUUUCCCGUUGGGAAUACUGCUAUUUCUCUGAGAAGCAAAAGGAAACUGUUAGCGGGUGUGGGCACAGCCGCACCCGGGCCCCAACGGCCCCAACCGUCCCCAGGAGAGCUCUGCUCUGUGAGGGGGCUACAGGUGCAGACUCCCACAGGCCUGACCCUGCGGGUGUGACCCCUGCCCCCAGGCAGCCCCACGGUCCCUGGCCCUCACCCGCUUCUGGGCACGUUCCCUCUUGUACAGCUUCGCCGCCUUCUUGUUCUGGCCGAUGCCCAGCUUGGCAGACUUGAAGGACUCCAGGCGCUUCCGCAUGGUCCUGUGGAAGAUCUCCUUGUCCUGCUUCUCGUCCUCGUUGGGAGUUAGCUCGUGCCGACUGUACAGGGACUGCAUGUCCAGGCACACCGCACUGACAUUCUCCCUCCUGUAUGGGGGCCUCAGUGAUCGUCUGGCCUUCCUGCCCCUCACCCCUGAGCCUGACCACCACCGGCCCCCUGCCCUCCUAACUCACCCCCCUCUAGCCCAGUACCUGCACACCAGCUGAGCAAACCCCAGCCAUGCAGCCCUACAGAAUCAAGAGGUCCAGAAUCCAGGACCAGGGGUGGGUGUAGGGGCACCAGGGAUGAGGCCUCAGCCCCAAAUCUCCAUCUGGCCCUCCCCGCUCUUAGUCUCACAUCAGGCAAACGCUAGCAUUUACUCCAGGUGCAUCAUGCAGGGGGACACCUGGCACCUGUGUGCACACCCUCCCUGGACCCCUCAGGGGCCCAGCCAGGGGUCUUUAUUCGACCCCUGAUGGCUCUCAGUUCCCCUAGAUGUCCAUUGGCCAGUGUCUGUCCAGAGGGGCCCUGCUGCCUGUGCCCAGGAAGGCCUGGGAAGUGCAGGUCAGGUCAGGCAAGACCCUGCCCACAGCAGCCAGCAGCCACUAGGGUCACGGCAGGGGUGGGGGGGUGGAGGGGCCAGGGGUAGGGGAUGGCCUCUUCUGGCAGAGCCGGUGUGAACCUGGGCACGUACAGGAGGUAAGACACCGAGGCCUCCACGGUUGAGGGCCGUGGCGUGCUGAAGUCCACGUUGACCAUGUUGUCAGUGCUGGGGGAGCGGAUAAAGGCCAGGGACCCACGGCGCUCUCCCUGUGGGCAGGAGACAGUCUGUGUCCACGCACAGCAUGGCGUGCCUCACAGCCAGGUGACCGCCAGCCCCAGAGAGCUGAAGCCACAGUGAGGCCACACUGAAUGGUCGAAGAGGAAAGGGAAGAGGGAACCCUGGGUCCCUGAACCAGCCCCUUGGGGGCACGGGGUGCCAGGAGACACUGCAGCUCCCCACAGGACUGGGGAAGUGCCCCCAGGGCCCUGGGGACUCCCAGCCAGCCACCCUCAGUGCCCCAGAGAGGGGAACAAUAGAAUCAUGGGCCGGGGCACGCGGUGUGGUGGGCAGUGGGGGCCCUGCCAGCGCCUGCACCUCCCAUGUGGGGCUGGGGCAUCACUGUGUCCCAGGGACACACUGCACACACAGUCAGGACCGCGUCUCCUGAUCCCUCAUCCCGGCUCUAGAGCCCCUGAAGGCGGAGAUCCGGGCAUUGAACUCUCCCCACCCAGGGCCAGAGCGCAGACAGCAGGUGUCUUGUCCUGCCGGGGGCUGCAGCUCGUGGACUGGAGCCCAGGGGAGUGGGGUUGGCCCAGCACAGCUCAGUAGGUGCUCAUCUGCCUGCGGCCCCUGCCCGCCUGUGCCUGGGAGGGACCCUGGGUUGUGCUGGGGCAUCGGGCUGUACACCGGUGUGGACAAGCCCCUGGAGAUAGGGAUCCAUGUCCCCCCUGAAAGAACAGAUGCUUCUAGGGCUCGGCCACACCCUCUACGAGGUCAAGGGCUUGCUAAGAGGGCUUGUCCCUCCAAAGGGAAGUGCAGACCUCUAGCUCACCAGGGCCCCAUGUGGGUCCAAGCUGGCGAGGCGCCAGGUGACCUUGGGCCAGGGGCCAUGUGUGGGGACACAGUGGGGCAAAGGCAGCUGAGUGAUCGAUGUAACGACCAAGGGAUGGUCACACGUGUGCACUGAGAAGCCAGGAAGUGCCACUUGGAGGCCUGUGGCUACCAGGGAGGGGCCAGCCAGACUGUGUCCCCGGAGGAGUGGGUUUAACCUGAGAGAGACCUGUAUGACUGAGUCACUCUGACAUCCCCAGUCCCUGGGAGGCUGUGGGUUGGCGUAGGGCACGCGGCCUCAGACACUACGGGAUCCAGAGUCACCGUGCGGCCCAUGUGGCAGGGCCUGUCCCUCAUCCUUAUGUGCACCUGGAGCCCACUCAUCUACCUCACACUGCACGGCUGUGCAUACCGUGUGCACACGUAUGUUGGGGGCAUGACUCCAUGAGGCCCUAGAGUGUCCUACAGAGAGCCGUGGGGGAGGGUUCUGUGCCUCAGCUCCCACAGCCAUUCUCGGGGUAUCGGGGGACCCAUGAGCUUCACGGGGUGAACUCGUCAUUGACCCCGGCAUGGUGCUGCUGGGCCUCUGGGAGGGUCUUCCCUGGCCCAGUGCCUGAGACCCCAGUGGCUGCCCACAUCCCAUGUCUGGGUGUUGGUUCAGCCCCCAGCGCUCACAAAGAGAACACAUGGAAUGUUCUGGUACCUCAGCCACAUAGCUGAUGGCAUCUUUCAGGUUGAGUUCAUGGAAAACAUUGAGAAUCCGAUCGCGUGACUUCUGAGCAGACUUUCUCAUAAGGAUUUUGCUGAGGAAUUUCCUAUCAAAAUUGGACCACCUGGGGGGGGGGUUCAAAGCAACACAGACGUCAACGCUGGGGUGGCCCCAGGAUGGACGGGGACCCUGGCAGCAGGUGGGGGUGGGGAGCAGGGGUGUGGUGGGCCCGGGUCUCCCACUGCCCAGACCUGUAUGCACGGGUCUCCCAGGAGCUCAGACCAGGGGACACCCUCCCACCCCCCACCCUGAUUUUUAUUCACCCAACAACCACAAAGGUGAGUUCUAAAAUGAAAGCAAUAAACAUCUGGGGUGCUGGUUCCCCAUC